CCAAGCCACUCUAUCACUCCCCUUCCCAGCUGGACAGGGAAGAGAGAAUAAGAUGGAAAACAACUCGUAGGUUGAGAUAAGGCAGUUUACUAAAGCAAAAGCGAAAGUUUGUGCAUGCACAAGCAAAG